ensembl:lncRNA
GGACGGCGCGGAGAGACGGAGCCUGCGGGUCCCAGGCCCAUACGCGGCUCACGUUACUCUAUCAGGAUCCAAGCAGAAGCAGACUGAGGUCCCUUUGAAAUAUAUUUGCUGUUUUAUUUAUGGCUCCUUUGGGGCCCUGCCGCCUCUAAGUCUGGUUUUGGCCAAGGCACCACUGCGGAGUAUGAUUCCAAAUGGCAAACAUCAGCGAGACAGCAAUGGCCUUGAAGCAGCCAGUGGGUGCUGCAGGUGGGCAGGGGGCUUUGCUUGCCACCACUGCUGAGGCUUUAAGACCAAAGCCUUUCCCACAUUACCUGCUUUUGCACAGACACAAAAGGUCCUGGGAGAAUGCUGCCCCUUUAACAUCUGGGAGGAAUCUCCAUAGUAACACCGGAUCCAAAGACUCACCCUCAGGAAACUGCCAGGAAGGAAUGAAGAAAAGAACAAAUACAUCAGGAAUGAAGAAAAGAUAUCAGGAGGAAAGGAAGGAAGCAAGACAGAAGUAACAGAUUCUAUUAGUAAGAGACCAUGCCUUGUGAUAUGCAGGAUCUAGGUCACUGACCAGGGGUCAAACCACGGGAGCACAGAGUCUUAACCACUGAACCACUAGGAAAGUCCCUGGAUAUUCGUAUUUCUAUGGUUAUUUGAAUGUACACAUUCUUCAUAUGAUUUUUUCUGUUGGGAUUGUUUUAUAUUUAUCUCUGAGAAC